UACGUAGGGUGCGAGCGUUGUCCGGAAUUAUUGGGCGUAAAGGGCUCGUAGGCGGUUUGUCGCGUCGGGAGUGAAAUCCACUGGCUUAACUGGUGGCUUGCUUUCGAUACGGGCAGACUGGAGGUAUGCAGGGGAGAACGGAAUCCCUGGUGUAGCGGUGAAAUGCGCAGAUAUCAGGAGGAACACCGGUGGCGAAGGCGGUUCUCUGGGCAUGUCCUGACGCUGAGGAGCGAAAGUGUGGGGAGCGAACAGG
rnacentral:rRNA from 1 species